GCCUUUGUAAAUUGAAUUUGCCGCGACAAUAUUUGAAUUAAAACGAUAAUAUAAAUUAUCGUUUUAAUUCAAAUAUUGUCGCGGCAAAUUCAAUUUUUAAGCC